ACUCCUACGGGAGGCAGCAGUGGGGAAUAUUGCACAAUGGGCGCAAGCCUGAUGCAGCCAUGCCGCGUGUGUGAAGAAGGCCUUCGGGUUGUAAAGCACUUUCAGUCGUGAGGAAGGUAGUGUAGUUAAUAGCUGCAUUAUUUGACGUUAGCGACAGAAGAAGCACCGGCUAACUCCGUGCCAGCAGCCGCGGUAAUACGGAGGGUGCGAGCGUUAAUCGGAAUUACUGGGCGUAAAGCGCAUGCAGGUGGUUUGUUAAGUCAGAUGUGAAAGCCCGGGGCUCAACCUCGGAAUAGCAUUUGAAACUGGCAGACUAGAGUACUGUAGAGGGGGGUAGAAUUUCAGGUGUAGCGGUGAAAUGCGUAGAGAUCUGAAGGAAUACCGGUGGCGAAGGCGGCCCCCUGGACAGAUACUGACACUCAGAUGCGAAAGCGUGGGGAGCAAACAGGAUUAGAUACCC
rnacentral:rRNA from 1 species